rnacentral:lncRNA from 1 species
UUUAAAGUUUUUGGGUAUGAAACAAAGCACGACAACAAUAUAGCAGCAGCAAGGAUGUCUUUAUAGUAAAGUGGCAAGACAGUGAUUGAGAGAAUAAAACAGAAAAUAUGCACGUUGACAUACAUUCUUUCUUCUUGCCAGAAGCCUUGGCAGCAGCAGCACGCUCUUCAGCAGCCUUCUUCUCCUCUUCAGUCUCCUCACCAAAAAGGUCAACAUCAUCGUCGUCGUCAUCGUCAGCUGCUGGGGCCUGUGGUUAUUAGAAAUGCACUUCAGUGACUAAAACGAGUAACUAAGAAGUUCCUAUUUCUGAUAUUGAACCACAUGGUUGAUGAUAACUAUAGAAAACAAUAAUAAUUCAAACCAGCAAUCAACACAAAUUAUGUGAGCAUAUAAUAAAACUACUAACAAUUUUCAGCCAAAAAAUCACAAAGAAUUAGCACAACACGUAAAUUCAUUUAUAGUUUUCAGCUACAAUAGGAGUUAAGAAACUAUACCUCAGCAACAUCAGGAGUUGAGGCUGAAGGAACUGCUGAUGACUCAACCUUGACACCUAGGCCCUCUGCAGUAACUCCACUGAAAUUGUAUGGAUUAUCAGAACACUCACAAUGCUAACAGGAUACCUAGUAGGAAAUAUAAAGGCCAAGAAAGGCAUACCUCAGCCUCAAGAGUGCAUCAAUGUGAGUAAACCACCUUGCUACGUUGAUAUACUUGGAUGAGGGAGCAGCCGAAAAUGAAGAGUAGACAGCCAGAUCAUCCUUGGAAGCUUGGUAGCUAGAGACAGCAGCAUAAGUUCAGUACAAAGGUUAUGCCAUUGUGCAAACAGAGUGGCUAGAAUCACAUACCCAGUGAUGUAGCUGCGAGUCAAAAGGUACUCAUCAAGCUUUUUCAGCCCUGCCUCAGAGUUGACGUUUGCGAAAGAAAACGCCAUCUCCCCUUGAGAAAGAUUAACAAGUGAUCUGAUGGCACAUAUGAGGUCGGUGUUAGAACAACUUGAAGUGUCAAAUCAUGACAAGAGUUAAACAGGCAUUCAAUGAACAGAGAACAAUGAUGCUACUAUAAUACUGCAGAGCAUUAUCCAAAUCCUUAAACAACUCGUAUAUAUUAGAUCUAACAACAAGCACCCUGAACCCAAAUCCAAACCAAGGAUAUGUUUCCGAACUCUGAAUAUCCAAACCAAAGCUAUGUUUUUGAAGUAUCCAAACCAAAGCUAUGUUUCCGAAGUAUCCAAACCAAAGCUAUGUUUCCGAAGUAUCCAAACCAAAACAAUGUUUCUGAAGUGUCAGAUUAGUUCAGAGCUUAGGUGACAACUUAUGGGGACAGAACCACAUGGUAAACAGAAAGUUUUAAACAGAAGACUGAGAUCUACAGGGACAGUUCGUGUACCUGACUCGGAUCGGGAUUGGUAGACUCGCAAAUUCAUAACUAUUUAUUGUAGAAUCGUACCCGACAAAGACAAAAUAAGAAGAAUGAUCAUAAAAGUCAUAAAAUUGCACCCACAUAAUCGCGAUUUUAACAAGUAUACGACAGCAACGGUAUAUAAGAAACUAACGAACUAAAUCACCACAUGGGUUUUGCUACAAAGUAGAACGAAGAACUAGCUAAUAAUGGAAUUCAGAUUAGAUGCUAUCUCAACACUUGAAACCACUGGGAUCCAGGGGCGGAUCUAGUAACGGGACACGCGUGUACACAUGUAUAGCCGAUAAUUUUUGCAAAAAAUUACAAGUUCGUAAGCAUCAGACAGCCAAAUCGCUUGAGGUUAGAGUUUGGGAACUCGGUUUCGCACACCAGCAGACAUGGAACUAGGGAAGAGAAGUGGGGAUACCUGGUGGGCGCUCUUCGCCGGAGCCGGGAGGAGAGGGAGAGACUGGUGGCGGCUGGCACUUGGGAUGAGGGGCGGAGGCUGCUGGCUGUUAGGGUUUUAUAUAUAUCCGCUGACUGUAGUUGGGCCUUUAAUGGGCCUUCUCGUUCGCCAUUGCCCGCGCCGCCAGCCGCGUCCACGUUCUGUACGCCUGACCAGGUGCCCGCCAACGGGCAAUGACUGUUUCUUCCCUCAUCGGCCCAGUUGACUGUUUUCUUAACGCAUCGGCCCAGUUUGUCCUCAGCCCAGAAUAUACUGGUUGAUUCCUCCACACGGUCUUUUCCUUUUUCAGAUGCCUUCUUCUAUUACGAAGCGAGCACCUGGUAUAUAUUUUCUAAGUAUCUCUCUAAAAAAAAUGGCGUUUGCUUAUUAUUAUUUUUUUAUUUUCUGUUUUUUAUUAUUAUUUUAUGUCUUCGUUUUAUUUCCUUGCUUUUUUACUUAUUUUCAUUUUUAUCUUUCUUUAAUUUAUGUUUGCUUUUAAUGUAAUUAAUUAUUUUUAUUUAUUUUCAUGUUUUAUCAUUUUUGUCUUUAUAUUUCCUGUUACAAUUUUUGUAUAUUAUCUUAUUUUUUUGUUUUUUAUCUUUAAAAUUUUAUUACUUUAACUUACUUUUUUUAUUUUCAUGUUCUAGUUUUUUUAUUUUCUGUAUUCUAUUCUAUAAGAUACAUAUGAUGUUCGAGCGGUAUACGUGCGAUGUUCAAUGGUAUAUUUUUUUUAUUCAUUGUAUGAGAUGUUUCAUAAUGUAUCUGGGGAUGUUUACCUAGUAUAGAAGGGAUGUUCUCGAGUGUAUCUUUUAGUAUUCACAUUGUACUGUGAGGAAUUUUUGUGGUAUAUUUUUAGGUUGUUUGAGUAGUAUCUGUGCGAUGUUCUUUUCUACUUUCCUCUAUUGUGUUGAUUUUUUUCAUUUCCCCUUAUGUAUUGUUCUACUUUUUAUUUUAUUUUUUUGCUUUUCAUGUGAUAUUUGGUGGCAUAUUUCAAAUGUUCUCUUUUUAAUACUAUAAUAGAGACGCAUAUAUAAAGUAUUAUAUUCCGAUAUAAUUUUAUUUACCUAAUAAAAAAUAUUGUUGUCCUCGAAAGUGCAUUUAGGUCUUACGUGAGUUUGGUGGAUUGAGAGGGUGUUUGAUCCCCAGGACUAAAGUUUAGUCUGUCACAUUGGAUGUUUAGAUACCAAUUUGGAGGACUAAACAUGAUCUAACUAUAAGCAUAAGUUGUCGCUAAAGCCGUGUGAUUGUGCAUUGAUGUUUUGGUGGACUGAGGGGUGUUUGGAUCCCCAAAACUAUAAUAUGAAUCUAUUAAUGUUUUUUACGUAAAUCCAUGUAGAGUUCCGCGUGGUGUUAAAAAUAUAGUCAUAUUAUAUGUUAUUAAUACGCAUAUUCUAUGCUAUUAAUGUAGAUGAGAACUGAGUCCGGGUUGUUUAUUAAAAAUGCAUGAUCUGGCAAGCAAGUGUGUUAUCAAAUAAAUAAGACAUUAGAUUUUGCAUAUGGAGUGGUCUCAUGAUUCGUUUGUUGCUAUUGUCGAAUACUUCACCAAAAGAUACAUAUCAAAUGCAAUAUGUGAAACAUGCAAAGAAAUUUAGCAUAUAGAGACAAUUAAAGAAAGGAUGUUGCGAAAGUUUCUUUAGGUCAUAGGACAACACACAUUUUACUUUCAUCAUGUCUCUUUAUAACCAUGUCAUCUAUGGUUGGUGAAUAUAAUAGACUGUAUAUAUAUUGGCAGUUUUUUCUAAGAAAAACAAAUAAUAACUUCAGAGAUAAAAUUGAUUGGCUGAUGCGAGAGUCUGUCUAAACGACUACGCUUAUAAGUUGAUUUAGAAGUCAAUUAUUUUAUUAAAAGUAAACAAAAGAAAGAGACUUGACCUUAGAUUUCCAUUUUCUUCAAACCUGUGGAUGGUUUCCAUCACAUCAUGGCCGCUGUCACGUAAUUACGUAAAUACAAGCACAAUGAUUUUCCUUUUUCAGAACACUAAUUUAACAAAGACCAUGGCAUUGCAAAGCAAGGCACUGCCGUGCUGGUAACCGUGCAUACUGUAAGACGUUGAAAAUGCAACAUGAUGCAUUGAUAUGCGAUAUAGAUAGGCCUUGUUUACUUGGGAAUUUUUUUGCAAAAUUGCUACAGUAACUCUUUGUUUGUAUGUGACAAAUAUUGUCCAAACAUAAACUAACUAGGCUCAAAAGAUUUGUCUCGUAAAUUCGACCAAACUGUACAAUUAGUUUUUAUUUUUAUCUAUAUUUAAUACUCUAUGCGUGUGUCUAAAGAUUUGAUGUGACGGGGAAUCUUGAAAAAUUUUACGUUUUGGUUUAGAAGUAAACAAGGUCAUAGAUAAACCUUAGUUAGGCCGUAUGCCAAACGAAACACAACAUAUCUGGCUGGUUCCUUCCCCAAUUCGUUUGUGGUUUUCGGCCCACUCGACCACCGACGGUUUGGCCAGAGCACUCACAAGUUUCUUUUGGCAGCACGUACUCCGUCGAAUAGACUAAACGUUUAUUAUGAUUAAUCCGACGCUGCUGGCGCCCUGUUUAGUUUCCCACCAACAAAUUUUCAUCCAUCCCAUCGAAUCGUUGGACAAAUGUAUGAAACAUUAAAUGUAGAUAAAAAAUAAACUAAUUAUACAGUUUGGUUGAAAAUCACGAGAUGAAUCUUUUAAGUUUAGUUAGUCUAAGAUUAGUCUUAGGUGCUACAGUAACCCAUAUAUACUAAUGACAGAUUAAUUAUGCUUAAUAGAUUUGUCUUGCAGUUUUUCCAGACAAGAUAUGUAAUUUGUUUUUUAUUAGUUUGUAAAACCAUUUUCAAUAUACUUACGACAUAUCCGAUGUGGCAUUUAAAUUUUUUUUUAUCUCCAACACCUCUGUACCGGCUGUGAUGGGGAGGGGACGGACACGUGGUCAUCCAGAUAGCACGUCAAGGACCCUCAAUUACGCUUCCCGAGGCCACAAGCAAAGAUGCUAGUACUCAGGCCUUGUUUAGUUCACCUUAAAAAGCAAAAAGUUUUUAAGAUUCUACAUCAUAUCGAAUCUCGUGUCACAUGCAUGAAACAUUAAAUAUAGACGAAAAAAAACUAAUUACACAGUUUAGUUAUAAAUCACGAGACGAAUCUUUUAAUCCUAGUUAGUCCAUGAUUAAAUAAUAUUUGUUACAAACAAACGAAAGUGCUACAGUACCGAAAUUUUUUCAAUUUUCGAAACUAAACAAGGCCUCAUUAAACAAAAACUUUGUCAAAACUCGCCAUAUCCGAUGUCUUAUCGGCGUCCCAAGAAGUACUGGCGUUUAUUUGGUCGAGGUGUACCAAGACACACAUCACCCACAAUCAGGCCGUUUUGGUGCCUCGCCGUCGUAGCGUAGGACAGGCAGAUCAGAUCAGAUCACCGAUCAUGUUUUUUUUUUUUGAGUAAAGUCCAUCAGCGGUCCCUAAACUUGUUCGGAUGUGUCAUCCCAGUCCUUAAACUUGCAAAAUGACCGUUUAGGUACCUAAACUUGUUCGGUUGUGUCAUCCUGGUCUCUAAACUUAAAAAUCUCCCAUAUAGGUCAUCAAACUUGUUCAGUUGUGUCAUCCCGGUCCCUAAACUUGUUUUUAAGUCUUAUCUGGGUCAAAACAGGACGAAUCUAAAAACUCUAUAUUGAAAAAUAAUUCAUAACUUUUUUAUAUGAACUCAAAUGAAGAUAAACUUUAUAUCAAAAUUGUAGGCAGCAACAUGAUCUACAACUUUGCAGUUGAAAAGUUUUUAAAUUAAAAUCGUUUAGGUUCCCAAAAUAUUUUUUAUAAGUUUAUAGAUUUUAAAAUUUAAAAUUUAAAAUUAAAUUUUAUAACACUAAACGACUUCAAAUAAAAAACUUUUCAACUACAAAGUUGUAGAUUGUGCUGAGGACUAUAACUUUGGUAUAAAAUUUGUCUUCAUUUGAGUUCAUAUGAAAAAGUUAUGAAUUAUUUUUUGAUAUAGAGUUGUUAGAUCGCUUUGUUUUGACCCAGAUGAGAUUCAAAACCAAGCUUAGGGACCGAGAUGACACAACUGAACAACUUUGAGGAUCUAAACGGAUGAUUUCUAAGUUUAGGGACCGGGAUGACACAAUUGAACAAGUUUGGGGACCGAGAUGACACAGAUGAACAAGUUUGAGGACCUAAACAAUCGAUUUGUGAGUUUAGGGACCGGGAUGACACGACAGCACAAGUUUAAGGACCGGUGGUGGACUUUACUCUUUUUUUUCGAUCAAGGGUUGGAGUGUACGUGUACGUGGCCCUGGAUAAAAAAAAUGGGAUUACCAUCUCAUUAUAUUCACUCGCCUAUUGUUUGUUUAAGCAUAUCCUCAAUCUGUUUCAUAUUAUAAAAUAUUUAGCUUUUUUAAAUAUGUAGCUUUUCGUAUAUAUAUAUUAUGUAUAGAUAUAUAUUAAAAAACAAUAUAUUUAGAAAAGUCAAAAUAUUUUAUUAUUUAGAACGGAUGGAGUGUACCUUUGACUAUUGUUUGGUUUUUGCAACAUCGAGAGUAAGUCACCCUUGAGCAGAUAGCAAACUCCUAUAAUUUCUUUUACUAAAAUGUCCCAACCAAGAACAAAAAAGUGUGUGCACAGCUUUACAUUUUAAUGAGAUGUUGGUUAAGCAUAUACUCUCCCUGUUUGUGUAUAAGAUUUUGAAGUCGUUUAGGAUAGUGAUAUGGGCUCCAAAACGUAACUUUGAUCUCUUAUUUUUUAUAAAAAUAUUUAGAAAAAAUGAUAUAUGUAUAUUUUUAUGAAAGUAUUUUGUAAGACAAAUCUAUUCAUAUAAUGUUCACAUUUAUAAAUUCAACAAUUUAAAAGUUAUCGGUGAUUUAUAUUCUCAAUGUUUAACCCAUACUUUGUUCAAAACGACUUCUAAAUCUUAUACGGAUGGAGUAUAUAUUAUUUGGUGUUGGUCGGUUAAGAUAUGUCUUCACAUUUCUAUAGGCGCCGUCAGUAAGUCAUCUAUUGCAUUAUUGAUUCUUGUACCAUCGAGAAAACCGUGAGCAAAACACACACUCUAAUCUUAUUAGAAGGUCUUUCUUUGUAAUUAAUCAAGCACAACGUCGGGUGUACCAUGAGAUGCUUUAAGGAAUAGAGGUAGGUGCUUAUUUAUUUUGAUAUCUUCAUAUUUACUUUGCACUUUGAAAGUUGCUUGUCAUUUAGCACAGUUGACUUAAUAUUAUCAAAACAAAUCUGACUAGGUGACCUCAUCAUUUAUUAGUUUUCUUUUGUGGUUAUUACGCGUGAAAUGAAUGAGUGAGAUACCUUUCUCUCAUAUCUCUAUUGGCAAUCCUAUUCGUACUAGUAUAAGGUAUGCAUAACUUAGAUGUUCAAUUUUUCUGUGCAUUUACUCUAAUACUCUCUAAUUUUUUUUUGCACGAUCUUGGAAGAUUCAUUUGUGGAACCUAAAAAUUUACUCUAUAAACAAAACCCAUAGUUAGCUUGUCUCUUGUGUGAGUAAUCAUCAUGUACUUAGUCUACUAGGCGGGAAUGAGCUCAUUGUAAACCCAUAGUCAGCAUGUCGAUGUACAAACUACUCAUUUCUUGAUCUUAAUACAAUAUUGAGCAAACCUUAGACGUAUUCGAGAAACAAAACUUCAUAAACAAAACCCAUAGUGCCUAACGAAGUAAUGAAAAUGAAACCAAUAGUGAGGAUAGAUACUCUCAAUGCAAAACCUCGCAUGCCGGUCAGCAUGGGCUAAUCUCGCUUGUCCUAUUAGCUUUUUUUGUUGUUGUCACCAUCAAUGCAUUUCUGCCUGAUUUUCAUCAUCCUGGCGAGUAAUCCUGGCCACUGGCACUGUCCCUUGUUGCGUUACUCUGUUCCCGUGGGCCGUGGCAAUGGCAAUGGCAACGGCUUGGGCGUGGACCUAACAAUUCGUUCCUCCUCCACGUCAAAGUCUCCGCUUCCGUUCUUCCUCCACUGGACUCCACUCCUCUUCUCCUUGGGAUCCCAAUCCCGAUUUCUAUUUCUAUAUCCUGCUCAACUCAACGCGGAUGCUCCAGUCAAGUGCCAGUGCACCUCGAGCACGCGCAGGAAGGCAGGAAGCCCGCCGCCGUUCGCUUUGGAUGAUGCCAAUGGCCUCCUCGAGCCUCGGCCGCCUCGUGGUGGCCGUGGCCUUGCUGCUCACGUCGUCCGCCCUCCUCUGCGUCGACGCGUCGGUGCACGACUACGCCGGCGAACGGUUCGCGGCCGACGGCAACGCCUUCGUCCUCCACGGCGGCAGCGAGGGCGUCUACGCCUCCGCUAAGGCCGCCGCGUUCAUCCGGUACGUACGUAUGAAACCGCGUCAGCGGAUCAAUUCAUCGCUUCUUUGCCUUCUUGGGGAGGAGAGGGAUCGAGGGGAUGUGGCUAUGGCGCUGACGCGGUGUGUUUGUUUCUUGAUCCGCGCAUGCAGCUUCGAGAAGGUCGCGUUCUUAAGGACGCCGGAGUCGGCCGCCGCGGCCGAGGUGGACGGCAACCGCACGGCCACGGUCACGGCGGUCAUCUUCGAGGCCGGCGACCGCGACGCCGUCGGGGGCACGGACGUCUCUGUCACCGGCGGGCGUGCGCUCUGCUGCACGGCGGACAUGGCGAAGCUCGGGGCGUGCACCGAGGGUGCGGCGACGUACCGCGCGCGGAACGGCACCGGCUGGCCCAGGGUGCUCGCGGCCUCCUUCCUCCCGGGCGCCCUCGAGGCGGCGUUCCCGGACGAGACCGUCAGCAUGGCGCGCACCGGCAUGUACACCCUCCUGUUCGUCCACUGCGACGCCUCGCUCGCCGGCGGGCAGGUGGACGCGCGGGGCAAGACCAUCUGGAAGAACAGCCGGGGCUACCUCCCGGGGCGGAUGGCGCCGCUGCUGCCCUUCUACGGCGCCAUGUCGCUGGCGUUCGCGGCGCUGGCGGCGUACUGGUUCGCGCAGUGCGCGCGGUUCUGGCGGGAGGUGGUGCCGCUCCAGAGCUGCGCCACGCUGGUGAUCGCGCUGGGGAUGCUGGAGGCCGCCACCUGGUACUUCGACCUCGCCGAGUUCAACGAGUCCGGCGUCCGCCCCCGCGGCGCCACGUUCUGGGCGGCCACGUCCGGCGCGCUCCGCGGCGCGGUGGCGCGCGUGCUAGUGCUGGCCGUGGCCAUGGGCCACGGCGUGGUGCGGCCCGCACUGGCGGGGCUGAAGAGCGCCAGGGUGGCCGGCCUCGGCGCCGCGUUCUUCGCCGCCGCGGAAGCACUCGAGGUCAGCGAGAACGUCGGCACCGUGAGCGACCACUCGCCGUCGCCCACGAGGAGGCUGUUCCUGGUGCUCCCUGUGGCGGCCCUCAACGCGGUGUUCGUGUACUGGAUAUUCAGCUCGCUGUCGAAGACGCUGAACAAGCUCAAGGUGAGGAGCAACACUGUUCCUGCCUACCAUUUCAGCUUGUUUUCUUGAGAUUUCUUCAACAUCAUAAAUACAAGAACUUUUCAAUGUUUGUAGGCGAAAAGAAUGACGGCGAAGCUGGAGAUGUACCGGAGGUUGAACAAUGCCUUGAUCAUCGCGGUGGCCGUGUCACUCGGCUGGAUCACAUUUGAGGUAAACACUAGUACCAACCCCUUUUUUUUGUGUGAGCAGGAGGCUGGAUUCAUUCAACUACUCUUGCUGUCCAGUCUCUCCCUUCCAGAAUUGUACCUUUCAGCAUUUGAUCUUAGUGAACACGUCCCAAUUUGAGUUGAGCAUUGCACAGCCUUAGCCUGAACCAUCCUGUUGAACAAUCAACAUUUCUACCUUUUUUUUUUUGGAUUUGCCCCAAAUGUUCAGUCCAGGACUGAUAGGGAAAGAACCAUCUUUUGUGACUGAUACAAUCCUGAUGUUUAUGGUCUAGUCUAGGUUAGUGAUCAGACGAUGCCCCUGCCCUCAGGUAACAUGUUGGUCUGUGCACUCAGGAGUAGCUCUAGUGCCCUUGAGAUUUCUUAGUCUGAAUGCGAAUGAUGUGCAGCUGAAAGAAACAACACUUCUGCAUUACCCUGCACUCCAUCUUUACUAGACAGUGACAAAACCUGCGGUUACCAAACACAGCCGGAUCCCUGAUCAUCUGCAAAUUGCUACGCUCUCGCCUGCAGGUCCACUUCAAGUCGACGGACGAGUACAACGAGCGGUGGCGCGCGGCGUGGGUGAUCCCGGCGGUGUGGCAGGUCAUCUCCUUUUCGCUGCUGUGCGCCGUCUGCCUCAUGUGGGCGCCCUCGCAGAGCUCGACGAGGUACGCCUACCUGGAAGACGACGACGAGGAGGAGGAGGGCGAGGGCGAGGACGAGGACACGCGGCCGCUGAUCAGACCCGGCCCGCUGUCGUACGUGGACAACUGGGCCAUCUCCGUGUCCAAGGACGCCACCACCGUCAUUCUGAGAACCGACUCCGGCGUGUACACGAAAGCCGCCGGCGAUGGAGGCAAGCGGGUGUAGUGAAGCACCAGCGACGAUCCAGAGGUUGACGAUACAACUAUACGAGAGCAAGUAAGGCGUUGCGUCAGCAAGAUAUGUCAGAGAGUGGCAGCUGUGUCUGUACGCUCGUUUGCAGUGUUGCUCGUUUCUUUGAUAAUCUCAAGGCUUUAGCUAGAGUAGGCUAAAGCUGGUGACAGAUGCAAAGCCGCAAGCAAGUGCGUGUAGACGGCGUGUAAUGUAGCCUCUCUCUAGGCUGAUUUUUGCGCGAGUAAGUAGAAACAUGACGCGUUCGAGAAGAACGACUCUAAACUGUAAGGACUGCCAAGUUCAAAUGACAACAGGGCCCAGUGUUUCAUCCUCUUCAUCUCACACCCUUCUCUUGAGAUUGUCUUCUAGGUACAAUUCUUCUAUUCUUUCAAAUCGAGCAAGAUUUGACUGGCAGCGCCGACGCAAGACCAUUGCAUACCGAAAAGGCCAGAAAAACUCAGAAAGCCCAACAAACCUUAAAACUCGGUAAGCCCAAAAAUUAAGAAAGCCCAACACAAAUCUUUGUUUCUGAAUUGGUUGGGGUGCGCCAGGCUCGGACUGUAGUGCAACGCCCGAGCGACACGCGAGGGCCCCAGUGGCAAGCCACGGAGGUGGACCCUCCCCCACAAAAAAUAAAUUUAAUAUCGAAGUAGGCACAUGGCCCACGUAUCAGAUAUUAAACUGAUAAGAACAGAUACUACACUUGAUCUUAGCCAAAAGGCCGAGAAAGGUAUGAGUUGGAACGGAGCCCUGGGUCUGUUUUUAUUGCCUUCCUCCGUCUCCGCCCGCUCAAAGCCGCCGAGUUGGGACUAAUGAACUGAAGCGCCCGGCCGCCCGCACACCGCACAGGCACAUAGCGCAGCGCGUGCGCUUGCUGAUUGCUCUGUUUGGUGACUUGGGCCUUUUGGGCUCGCAAUUUGGUAAUCCACACACGUUGCUCGCGGCCCAGUCCUGCUCGCCUCCUCCCAACGACCGUGCGCGCGGCUAUCUCGACCAAGUUCCCCAACUCCGUAGCAGCAGCGUUAUACACCCGCGCCACCGCCGCCGCCGCCGCCGCCGCCGUUCCACGCCGUCCUCGCAUAGUCACCUUCCGCGCACGUCGUGGGUGAAGGACAUACGGAGCGGAUAUUUGUCCCCGCAACGUCCGCCUCGCCCGGUUAGGUCGCGACUGCGGACUCCCAGCCGUCCGCGCGAUUUCCACGCUCGCCGUCGCCGCCUUCCCGGCAGAGGGCAGCGGCUGCCACCCGACCUCCCCACCUCCCGCUCCCUAUUCUGGCGUCUGCGCGCCUCCCGGCCGCCUCCUGCAAGCUGCGGCAGGGUCUCCAGCCGGCCAGCUGCGGCCAGGUGACGGCCGCCCCUUGUCCCCUUCUGCCGCUGAGGGUCAGAGUUCAAGCUUCAAGGUGAGAACAGAAUACAGAAGCCUCUCCCUUGAUCUGUUCCUAGACCCGCCACUGGCCGUGCACCGAAUCAUUGAAGCUGCCAGGGACGCGGAGCGGCGGACCGGAGGUCACUGGGGCCACCACGACAGCCUCCAGUUCGAGCCAAGCCGGGGCGCUGUCGAGUCCUUGGUAGCUGCCGCUCCGACCUUUACUGGACUUGGAUGUUGCCUCAGCAGUCCGCAGGUGCUAACUGUCGUGUUAUUUGAAUAUAGUGUUGUGUCUUUUUUUUUUUCGAAACAUAGUGUUUUGUCUUUUUAGUUCUCCUGUGGAGCAUUUUAACAUAUCAUUUCAGUUCAGAUUAAGAGCGUCCAAAGUGAGUGCUUACUUGCAGACUUGCAGCUAUCUUGGUCUUAGGUUACUUGCAUUAGUUAGUUGAGCGUUUGUCCAACAAAGUACGGUCCACCUCGUGACAUGUUGCUCUAGUCUUAGUAUACAGGCGUUGUUGAGAAACUUCUAUGCUAGGAGUAGAAAGGUUGGAUCUGUUACUUCAAACAGAGCUAUUGAUCACUUACAGUGACCAUGUUUCUUUUAUUGGGUUUCUUGGGUGACAAUUUGAUGUAAUUCGGAAGCUAUUAUCUCUUCUCUCUCAGGUUGUCCUUUCCAUCGACUUGUCAAGUAAUAUUGGUCCAUGAAGUGUAGUUCGUGGACAGCUCAUCCCUGCUUCUGCUGGUACUGUCAAUGUAAGGAGGGGAUCGGCAUCCCUUGUCUAUGCACCGGGCAGGCCCAUUGUUUCUGCGCCGAGCCCUUCUGAUCAGGAGCUAUCCCCCAGUGUCACACCUGUCCUCUCAGGCUUGUUGGUUGAACAGCUCUGAUAAUGAAGAGCCCAGUCAGAGUUCUGCUUACGGUGAUUAUAGAAGUCGCCGUCUGCUUCCCUUGAUCACACUAGCAGUGCGGGCGUCGAAUUGGGAUGCUGCCAGAAAUAUAAGCUUCAGGGAGUGUGUGAGGUUAUAUGGGUCAUCUCAGUCAGUUAGUCUGUUUGCUUUGCUUGUGCAGGCAUUCUUGCCGCGGAGAAUCAGAGAGGUCCGGUGCUUGAUUCAGAGCAUUGUUGAUUACUGUGGAAAUGCUGGGUCACAGUUGUUUGAGUUGGCUCCUAUGUUGGUCAGCAAUUUGGGUCAGUCAAUGACGCUGUUACAAGUUUAUGCUGCGGUCAUCCGUAUUUUUGUAGAGUCGUCAAUGUUUGAGGAUGCUCUUCUCACUUAUAUUGAGGUCAAGAACUUUGGUGUUGACAGACGUUUGUGCAAUUUCUUGCUGAAGUGCUUAGUCGAGGGGAAUCAGAUCAUGUAUGCGAGGAGUUUAUUUGAUGACAUGAAAAGUUGUGGUCCUUCACCCAAUGUCUGCUCUUAUUCAAUUUUGAUGAGUAUGUACACACAUGGAGAGAGGUUAUGCUUAGAUGAAGCUUUUGAGCUUCUUUGUGAAAUGGAAUCAAAUGGUGUGAGACCGAACGCUACAACAUAUGGAACUUACCUCUAUGGGCUUUGCCGUUCCAGACAGGUAACAUCUGCAUGGGACUUUCUUCAAACUCUUUCUCAGAGUGGUGGCCCUUGCAGCAAUUAUUGUUUCAAUGCUGUGAUUCAUGGUUUCUGUAGCGAGGGUCAGGUUGACAAAGCUGUAGAAGUGUUUCAUGGGAUGAAGAAAUGUGGGUUUGUCCCAGAUGUCCACAGCUACAGCAUAUUAGUUGAUGGGUUAUGCAAACAUGGGGAUUUAUUGAAAGGUUAUGACAUGCUUGAUGAAAUGGCAAGAAAUGGAAUAUGUCCUAAUCAAGUCAGUUACAGUUCACUUCUGCAUGGCCUUUGCAAAACUGGACAGGUUGCAUUGGCAUUAAAGAUUUUCAAGAACCUCCAAGACCAAGGUUUUGAGCAUGACCAGAUAAAUUACAGCAUCAUUCUUCAUGGCUGUUGCCAACAUUUAGAUCUCAAGGCCAUCUCUGACCUUUGGUUUGACAUGAUUCAUCAUGAUAUCGCUCCAGAUGUUUACAAUUAUACCAGUCUGAUCUACGCAUUUUGUAGACAUAGAAACCUUCAAGAUGCAUUGGGAGUGUUUGGGCUCAUGCUUGAAAAUGGGUUGAGUCCCAACAUUGUGACAUGCACAAUCCUAGUUGACAGCUUUAGCAAAGAAGGGCUAGUUGGUGAAGCUUUCCUGUUCCUGGAUAGAAUACAUCAGUCAUUGGGAAUCGUCCCAAACCUUUGCAUGUACAGAGUUAUUAUCAAUGGCCUUUGCAAGACCAACAAAUAUAGUGAUGUGUGGAAAUUUUUUGCAGACAUGAUAAAGAGGGGCUAUGUUCCUGAUGUUGUCCUUUACAGUAUUAUUAUUGAUGGCUUCGUGAAAGCUCUGAAGUUGCAGGAGGCCUUAAGGUUGUAUCGUAAGAUGUUGGAUGAAGGCGUAAAACCUAACACAUUUACAUAUUCUAGCCUCAUAAAUGGGCUGUGUAAUGAUGAUAGACUUCCUGAAGCUAUGGGAUUGAUUAAGGAUAUGAUUGGGGAAGACCUGUUACUUGACAAUAUUUUGUACACAUCUAUCAUUGCUUGCUAUUGUAGGCGUUUAAAUAUGAAGGCUGCUAAUGAAUGGCUCAGAGAAAUGGAAAGAAGUGGUGUGUUCCCAGAUGCUUUUGUAUAUACUUGUAUGAUUGAUGGUUAUAGUAAAGUGCUUGCAAUGGAUGGUGCGCGCUUGAUGAUGGAAGAAAUGGAAAAAAGAAAGCUUAAACUUACUGUAGUAACCUACACAGCUCUCAUUAUUGGAUACCUUAAAACGGGGGAUGAGAAGGAAGCUUGUAUGAUGUAUGAGAGUAUGCGUCAUGCAGGCAUUGCUCCAGAUGCCAAGCUGCGUUGCAUUUUGGGCAUUGGCAAUGACAAGGGUGAUUGUGAUGAUUCUCAGAAAGCGAAGGGUGUAACAUAAUUUUCACAUAGAGAUUUAUUAACUUGAUGAAGGGACUUCUCUGUGAUGGCUCUGAGCUCGCCUAGUGCAUGACACUGUUGGCUCCAUUUGUUUCCUCCACUUCCACACUGCCAUCCUAUGGACAACGAAUGGAAAGCAGUAACCUGAAAAGUGGCAGUUAAAUCCAUGGACAACAGCUGAGGGUGUAAUCAAUACAGGUUAGCCCUUGCCUUAUGCAAAUAAUCAGAUAAGAUAUUAAUCUGCCUUUUAAAAAUGCUUCUUUGUUUAAAGUGUUACAUUAAUAUACCAUCACACUGAAAUUUUCCCUGCUUUCCAAGUUUCAUGUUUAGAAAGGUUUUCUCCAUUUGUUUCUAUAAGACUACAAUACAUUCAACCAUGCUGUUAUUUCUAGAUCGUUUUGCUGUAGAAUAUUUUUUACCAUUUGUAGCACUUGUAAAGCUAUGAGUUUGACAGAACUGAAAGAUCACAGCAAUUCAUGAAAGUAAUCAAAUGGCUGUGCUCCAUACCUGCAGUCAAUGCCAUGCCAUUAAUAAGUUGAUUGACGCUUAAUGGACCACCUUCCCUGCCUUUUCAUCCUCUUCAAAGAGAACAAAACCUCAUUUCAUCCUCUCCUGUGUGGCUCAUAGGGAGUUUGGGUCCUCCUCUAGACUGAUGCAUGAGCUGCCUCACUGUAAGACACCGCACUCUGACUGAAGCCACCACAUGGCUCAAGAGGCAAGAUACUCCAGGCCACCAUGCCACCGCUCUGUUUUGAAAUCCCUUGACCAAAUUAUUGUUUGGUAGAAAGCGAUUGGGUUUGCCAUGGUGCCCAUAAAUCAAUUGUAUGAAAAAGGCAAUGAUAUUAUUCUGCAUUUCUAGAGAGUAUGCUAUGUCUGAAUUCUAGGAAUCAAAAUGUUCUUUCUGUGGAAAGUUUACUUAUGAAUUUAUGAUAUUUUCCAAAUAUAUUUUAAUAUUUUUCAUAAAUUCACAGCUUGGGUUUUUGAGAAGCAUGGUUGUUACUCUGUUUGGUCGGCCUAUUGGCUCUGGCCGCAGAGCAAUGACAAUAAUAGCCUAGGGGUGAGCUACCCUUUCAUUGACUGACCAUCAACCAAUGUGAAAGAAGUAGAAGCUCCUGAUGGAGUUAGUCCCGAUGGAGUUAGACCUUUACUGCCAAGAUGUGUCUUUACUUGAGAUGGCUGCAUGGUUUCCAGCCAAUUAAGCACACUUUAACAAGUGGCUUAUACAGAUCCUGGGCCCUGUGGAAUGUAAUACAUAAUUUAGCAUUUAUACCCACACCCAAGAACUCGCUUGAAAUAUAUCUUGCAUGACAAAUAUUGUGCAAUGGAGAUGACAGCUUGUUUCUAUGCAGAAUGUGAGCAAUCUGGACUAACUGAAAUAAUAAAGAAGCAUGGCGAUAAGGAGUGGAAGCCAGAGCUUGCUGUCACAUGAGUUCAGGAGGUGCAGCUGCAGACUUGCUGAGCAUGGCAGCUAAGCUGAGCAACAAUAAGAAGCAAGAAGUGGGGGUGCAUUAAGAACCACCACAGAUAUAUGGUGGAAAGUUAACACACAGCAAAUUUUCUGCCAGCUUAUCCAGAGGGCAGCAAUUAGCAGGUGUCGUCAUUUCCUACUUCAGCAAGGCCUCUUGCAGGCUAACUCAUGGUGGCUUGAUAAUUCCUGAUGCUCCAGAGGUGGAGGCGCUCACUUGCAAGAAUGCUGUGUAAACUGCAUAGGAUCACAAGCUGCAGGGUAAUUUGAUGCGGGUGUGAAAACUGAACAAGCUGCGUAGGAUCACAAGCUGCAGGGUAAUUUGAUGUGAAAACUGAACAUUGUUGAGGCGGGUGUGAGGAACAACUAAACAAGAAAGAAAUAGGUCAGGCAUCGACACCUUUCUGGAAGAAAUUGAGGUGAUCUACCAGUAUUUUGAUGGUUUGAAUGUUUACUUUACAAUUUUUUAGAGUUAUAGGGCAGAGCCCUGGUCUUAGCAGUAACAAUGACCAACUGUUUACAGCAUCCAGGUGGAUAACACAUUCCCAACAAGUCCACAAAGCACACAACUAAGAUAUCUCCCCAGAAAACACCACACUGAGCUCAAAAACCAAUUACAUGCCCCACUCGGAACCCAACUUCAGAAAACUAACCCAUUUCCCCUCUUGAAACACCCCCCCCCCCCCCCCCCAAAGGCAAGAACUUCACCAGGCGAAUUUUGACUUCAGCCGGAACUUCUGUCAGCUCCCAAGCAGAAGCACUCUGGUAAAAAUUUCUCCCAUUUGUCAACCACUUGGUUUAACCAUGCAGGCUUGGUGGCGGCGGCCUGCAAACUCCAUGGCACAUGCCUGUGCUCAACAGCUCUCUGACAUUAACCUUCUUUGUAUUCCCCUGUUAAUCUGUUCAUUAUUAUGGCAGAUGCUUUUGAUUGUUCUUGCAUCUAGAGUCUAUAUAUUGAUUCUGUGGUGCACACUGAAUUUAGGAUGCUUGCUUUAGUCUAUCUCUCACCCUAUGUCAAAAUACAUUUUUUUGCUUUAGCUAUGAAAAAUGCAUUUCAUUAGCAAGUUUGGAGACUCACUUCAGAUUGUAGCUUAGGAAUAUAAGUUUCUAGGAUUACAGGUAUGUUCUAGCAAAGGCAAAAGUUCAAAUCUAGCUGACACUCAAGGCAUGUAGAUUUACAGAACAUUUAGUCUGUUUCUUUGGAAAGUAAGGUGGAACAUUGCAUAGGGUGAUUACCAGUGAACCUCAUAUAUAUAUAUAUAUAUAUAUAUAUAUAUAUAUAUAUAUAUAUAUAUAUAUAUAUAUAUAUAUAUAUAUAUAUAUUUCAUUUUGGUUAUUUUCAGUGUAUGAUCAUGCAAGUAUCUGCUGACAGAAAACAGUUGGCGAUGAAGCAACAGUGGUCAGGAUCCAUAUGGCGUCGGAUUGUGCAGCCGUACGUCUACCAUGCCACCAUCAUGAACGGGUACUCUUCAGACUGUUGCCAGGUGAGCAUGGAACUUGGACUGCGAAUGCAUCGCAUCUUUGUGCUAAUGCUGUGACCAUGAUUUUAGUCCCAAGGUUGAUGUGCCUGUUUAUCCAUAGCAUUAAGUAAUCCUUGCAUGUAUCUGUGUUUCCGUCUUGCCACAACCACAACUUCGUGUUUUAUUUUAUAUAUAUAUAUAUAUAUAUAUAUAUAUAUAUAUAUAUAUAUAUAUAUAUAUUCCUGUGUCAUGCCUUCCUUGAUGACAGAGCUAUCAGGAAUUAGGCAUAACUGUUUCCAUUCUGGUAUUGUAAUGUACCAUUAUGUUUUGAUUCAUUUCACUCUAUAAAACAUUCUUUUUUUCGCUUACUAUAUGCAGCGCUGCUGCGCAGGGACCUCUAUCAGCACAAGAUGUCACACUCCACAGUCCACGGUCCACACGAUGGCAGGACCUCAAGCUUUUCUUUGCACGCAGAGCUCGGCAGCAGCCUUGGAACGGUCCGCAUGGCCGUGAGCACGCGUUCUCAGUUUGUUCGAGUCACGGCAGGCCGGAGGUCAGCGUCGUCGACGAGGGAGCAGCAGCGUCUGGGCGUCUGGCGCAACCAACAUUUGGCCUGCACGCCACAAUUGACUUGAGGGGUUUGGCUGUCGUGUGCGGCGAGCUUGCGGCUCCGAUCCGGGACCGGGGACGAGUCGACGUAUCCAGGCUCCAUGUGGCCGUCUCCAUCGGCAAGAUAUCGCCUGUCCCCCCUCUCCUGGUCUCGUGCUUUCCAGCUUCCCAUCAUGAUCUCGCAAGUGACUGCAUAAAUCACACGAUCGCAAUUGCAAAUUCUCCCGAGACACUUGUAAAGUGUAUUUUCAGGAAGUCUGUUUUGGACUUGAUCAAUCAUCGCUGGUAUUAUUGGCCGCGAAGCAUCCAUACGGCUCCAGGAUUAUGAUUGUCUCCUCACCUCAUGCGUUAAUUCGCGCUUCAUCAUUCAAGCCGUGCGUGAUCUUUCUUUCAGACGCAUAUAAUUCAGAUGUGCAUCUUGGACACGGCGAUAUUUGCUAAUAAUUCAGGUUUGGAUGGAGCGAGGCCAAGGUGCAACACGUUUCCUGCCGACCUACUCGCAAGUUCCUUUCUUCUUUUUAUUUUUUCUUGUGUAUGUAAAGAACAUGAUUAGCAUCGAUUCGAGCAGAUUUUGGUCUGGCUGUUUCGCAUGCUGGCUGUUUAUUAUAUACUUCAGCCAUUUCUUUUUUAAAACUGUUUAUCUACGUACUGGACUCCUGGCAACACACAACAGUCGUUAUGGAAAUAUCCUGGGCCUUGGCCUAAUUUCAACACGAUGACGGCUCCUGUCAGAAAUACGAGUAGUACCUGACAGACUGUACAAUAGCCAUUCCGUACGCUCUGUUUAUUCACACGUGUUUCAUCGGCCCCUCCCGCUACUCGCACGCUCGCCAGCGUGGGGGGACUCGUACGGUCGUACCCGACACUACUGCCCGUACAUCGUUCACUGCUCGGCGCCCAGUGCACGCCACAGCUGCAGCUGCCGUUGCCGAGCAGCGCGCGGCGGCAUGUGGCAGUCCUGGAGCAGUCAAGCACCGCGCGACUACACUGAUGACAUGACCGACCCGACCCGACCCGCCGCUGCAGGGGAGCGGAGGCCACUGCAGGAGAUGAGAUCGGGCGCGCGAUCGAUUUUCCUCCGGCCGCGGACCCACGGGCCAGCCAGCGGCGCGGGUCAGCAGGUCAGCGUGGUGCACUGGCACUCACACGGACCGUGACCAACGGCUGCGACGCAGACAGUAGAGUAGAUUUUUCAUCAGGAUCUCGAGCAGUCGAGCACAGGCAGGCACAGUACUAGGAGGCGCAUGGGCACGCAGGGCAGCGUCAGGGGAAUGGGACGCGUUGGUUUCCCGGCGACCCCGUGCGUAGGAGUACAACGUCCUUCGCAGACCACAGCACAGGCCGCGACGACAGUGACACGCCGCGCCCGCGCCAAAGUCACCGGCCGGGGGCCUCGUACCGUGCUCCUGCUCCGGGACGCGGAAGCACUCGCUAGUGGGCGGCAGCGCGAGGUGGACGACGACCCGGCCGGCUUUUAGGAGAAGUCGUCCCUCCCCUCCCCCCCUCGCUGCUGUGACUAGGCUACUGCCUACUACUGGCUACACUCUCUCGAGUCGAAUUGCAUCAGUGCAUGGGAGGAGGUCGUCGCAAGGCCUCGACUUUUCACACGCAUCUAUUUUCCCUUCCGGUAGCCUUGUUUAGUUGUAAAAAUUUUUGGAAAAUUGACACCGUAGCAUUUUCGUUUGUAUUUGACAAAUAUUAUCCAAUCAUAAACUAAUUAAACUCAAAAGAUUCGUCUCGUUAAUUCCGACCAAACUGUGCAAUUAAUUUUUAUUUUCGUCUAUAUUUAAUACUCUAUGCAUACGUCUAAAGAUUCGAUGAAUUUUGCAAAUUUUUUGGGAACUAAACAAGGGUAGCCAUGCCUCAUGCGUGUGGACAGUGGUGGAACAUGCAUGAUGCCUAGCCUUGUUUAGCUGGGGAGUAAAAACAUUUUUUUUAUGUCACAUCGGAUGUUUCAUAAAAUGAUAGAAGAAGUAUUUGAAUACUAAUAAAAAAAUAAAUUACAUAGCUCACCUCGAAACCGCAAGACAAAUUUAUUAAGCAUAAUCAAUUUGUCAUUAGCACAUGUGGGUUACUGUAGCAGUUAUGGCUAAUCAUAGGCUAAUUAGGCUUAAAAGAUUUCUCACACGAUAUACAACCAAACUGUGCAAUUAGUUUUUGUUUUCGUAUAUAUGUAUAUAUUUAAUGCUUCAUACGUGUGUCCAAAAAUUUGAUGUGAUAUAUGAAAAGUUUUUGGGUGGGAACUAAACAGGGCCACCAUGUUUAGUUGUGAAAAGUUUUUGGAUUUUUGACACUGUGGCAUUUUCGUUUGUAUUUAAUAAUUACUGUCUAACUAUAGACUACCUAAGCUCAAAAGAUUCGUCUCGUAAAUUACAAGCAAACUGUGUAAUUAGUAUUUGUUUUCAUUUAUAUUUAGUGUUCCAUAUAUGCAUGUGCCACAAGAUUUGAUAUGACGGAGAAUCUUGAAAAGUUUUUGAAUUUUGGGGUAAACUAAACAAGGCCUUACUAUAUGUCGUUGAAUUAUUGAAGACAACCUUCUCAACAUUCAGUCAGGAUUAGGCCACAACCAUUCGUUGAAUUUUCGAGGAAUAAUCAUGUAAAAUCUUACUAGUGCUAGUCAAGUUCCGGGUGGCCCAGGCAUGAGAAGCCAGGACGACUGACUCGGUAUAUGAUGUACUCGCACGUACACAGAUUGCCGCCAGUUUUCAAGAACGAGUCAAGUACGUGGGUGUACGUGCAGCAGAUCUCUACUUGUAGCACCAGCACUGCAGCUCAGCAAUUGUUUAGUUCGGAGUAUUUCUGUUUGUAUUUGGUAAUUAUUGAACUAAUUGAACUGACGACGCUGGAACGCACAACCACAACGCAACCAUGCAUGCACAUCCACAGGUCACUGUCACUUAUUACAGUAUUACUUGAAAGCUAUUCUCUGAACUACUGGUACAUACUACCUCACUCCGUGAGUCCGUGUUUUGCGUUUGUCAAUGCACCGGCGCUUAGAGUUGAACGUCGACUAGACUAGCAGUU